rnacentral:tRNA from 1 species
GAGGGUAUAGCUCAGGGGUAGAUAGUGGUAGGAUGCGUGCUUAGCAUGCAUGGGAUCCUGGGUUCAAUUCCCAGUACCUUUA